rnacentral:rRNA from 1 species
CCGAGUGGUGGGGACUUUUAUUGGGCCUAAAGCGUCCGUAGCUGGCUCAUCAAGUCUUCUGUUAAAUCCAGCGACCUAAUCGUUGGGCUGCAGGAGAUACUCUUGGGCUAGGGGGCGGAGGAAGCCGACGGUACUCCCGGGGUAGGGGUGAAAUCCUAUAAUCCCCGGAGGACCACCAGUGGCGAAGGCUGUCGGC